GAGGAAUAUUGGUCAAUGGGGGCAACCCUGAACCAGCCAAGUCGCGUGAAGGAUGAAGGUCUUAUGGAUUGUAAACUUCUUUUAUACAGGAAUAAAUUGGGGGACGUGUCCCCUUUUGCAUGUACUGUAUGAAUAAGGAUCGGCUAACUCCGUGCCAGCAGCCGCGGUAAUACGGAGGAUCCGAGCGUUAUCCGGAUUUAUUGGGUUUAAAGGGUGCGCAGGCGGGAUGUUAAGUCGGCGGUGAAAUUUUGCAGCUCAACUGUAAAAGUGCCUUCGAUACUGGCUUCCUUGAGUGUAGAUGAAGUAGGCGGAAUUUGUGGUGUAGCGGUGAAAUGCUUAGAUAUCACGAGGAACUCCGAUUGCGCAGGCAGCUUACUAAACCACAACUGACGCUCAUGCACGAAGGCGUGGGGAUCAAACA
rnacentral:rRNA from 1 species